rnacentral:rRNA from 1 species
CCUACGGGGGGCUGCAGUCGAGAAUAGUCUACAAUGGACGAAAGUCUGAUAGUGCGACGCCGCGUGAACGAAGACUCCCUAACAGGGUGUAAAGUUCUUUUAUAUGUGAGCAAUGGUUUGUACAUUAAUAGUGUGCGAGCAGAGAUAUUAGCAUAUGAAUAAGCAACGGCUAACUCCGUGCCAGCAGCCGCGGUAACACGGGGGUUGCAAGCGUUGUCCGGAAUUACUAGGCGUAAAGGGCAGGUAGGCGGAUCAGUAAGUUUGAUGUUAAAUCCAUCGGCUCACCCGAUGACAGGCAUCAGAUACUGCUGAUCUGGAAUACGGUUGAGGAAGACAGAAUUCCUGGUGUAGCGGUGGAAUGCGCAGAGAUCAGGAGGAAUACCGAAUGCGAAGGCAGUCUUCUGGGCCGUUAUUGACGCUAAACUGCGAAGGUGUGGGGAUCAAACAGGAUUAGAUACCCCAGUAGUC